CGCAGAGGUAGCGUCCCCGAGUCGUCCCUGCACAUGUGGUUGCGUGUCACACCGGUCACACCUGGGGAGAUGCAGAAGCUGUUCUAAUUCUGAGAACACAGUUCAAGCCAGGAAGUAGGAAAAAUGUUAUCCAGCAGAAGUUACAUGGGAAUUAUACUGCAUUUUGCUUGGGAAAAUGCCUAAUGGAAGCUGCUAAGGCUGCACAUGCUGGCCAGGUGCUGUACAAACAUCAAUCCCUCCCCAAAGGACUUACAAAGUAAAAUAUAAAACAGAGGGACAAAGCACACAAUGGUGGUGGGUAACAACCUAAAAGGAUGUGCACAAAUCUCAGUCAUUUAACAAUUUAUUACACAUCUAGUCAUCCAAUUGUAGUGGGCUGUGUGCAUUAAGGAAGAGGUGGGUUCUGAGGAGGGCUACUGAAAAAAGACAGGAUGGUGGCCUUGCUGAUUUUGACUGGAAUUUUUUUUCCUACAUUUGUGAAGUAGGCAGGGCUGGGAGAAAGUGCAAAUGCACUUGUCAGCAACGACCAAACAGCUGACAAAAUAGAAAAGAAACUGACCAGUAAAUUUAUGCUGACCAGCUGCACAAAUGGCUGACUAUCAUAAAUGUCAUAAUUUAAGCAUGAGAGGUCAAAUGUAAAAAAGAUUCAAGAAGGAAACAGAGGACAGUGUAAAAUUUUGUUAUCUAGGCAUAUCAAAUAAUGUGAUAGGUUUAGCAAAAUUAAAGACAGUAACUAGUUUUAUCUAUAUAAUGUAAAUGAAAGCCAUGCUCAUUGGGAACCAUCUCCAGCUGCUGGAACUCUGAACCCUCUGUAUGACUGUGGUGUGCAGAGGCAUUACCAGAAACCUGCAGAUGAGUGGAUCCUGACUGGGCAUCAGGUACAGUUUGUCUGUAUAAUAGGAGUGGUGAGCAGUUGCUUGGCAUGUGUAUUCUGUGUAUGUUGCUAAUAAACAGAUGUUUAGAGCGCACCUGUGUAAGACUCAGUGGGAAAAGGUGCCACAGACAUGUAAAGCCCUGAAGAAAAGUAGCAGCUAAAUUAACUGGUAGUCCUGUGGCACCUUAGAGACUAAAAAAAUAUAUAUAGUAUCAUGAGCUUC